UACGGGGGGUGCAAGCGUUGUUCGGAAUUAUUGGGCGUAAAGAGCGUGUAGGCGGUUUGGUAAGUCAGAUGUGAAAGCCCCGAGCUUAACUUGGGAAGUGCAUUUGAAACUGCCUUACUAGAGUAGGGAAGAGGAAAGCGGAAUUCCUGGUGUAGAGGUGGAAUUCGUAGAUAUCAGGAGGAAUACCGGCGGCGAAGGCGGCUUUCUGGUCCUAUACUGACGCUGAGACGCGAAAGCGUGGGGAGCAAACAGGAUUAGAUACCCUGGUAGUCCACGCCGUAAACGAUGUUCACUAGGUGUUGGGGGUAUUGACCCCCUCAGUGCCGAAGCUAACGCAUUAAGUGAACCGCCUGGGGAGUACGGCCGCAAGGCUA
rnacentral:rRNA from 1 species